ACGAACGCUGGCGGCGUGCUUAACACAUGCAAGUCGAACGAAGAGCGAUGGAAGCUUGCUUCUAUCAAUCUUAGUGGCGAACGGGUGAGUAACGCGUAAUCAACCUGCCCUUCAGAGGGGGACAACAGUUGGAAACGACUGCUAAUACCGCAUACGAUCUAACCUCGGCAUCGAGGAUAGAUGAAAGGUGGCCUCUACAUGUAAGCUAUCACUGAAGGAGGGGAUUGCGUCUGAUUAGCUAGUUGGAGGGGUAACGGCCCACCAAGGCGAUGAUCAGUAGCCGGUCUGAGAGGAUGAACGGCCACAUUGGGACUGAGACACGGCCCAGACUCCUACGGGAGGCAGCAGUGGGGAAUCUUCCGCAAUGGACGAAAGUCUGACGGAGCAACGCCGCGUGAGUGAUGACGGCCUUCGGGUUGUAAAGCUCUGUUAAUCGGGACGAAAGGCCUUCUUGCGAAUAGUGAGAAGGAUUGACGGUACCGGAAUAGAAAGCCACGGCUAACUACGUG
rnacentral:rRNA from 1 species